rnacentral:miRNA from 1 species
UGUGUAUGAGUGUGUGUGUGUGUAUGUGUAUGUGUGUGUACACACAUACACAUACACACACACACACUCAUACAUA